GAAUUAGGUCCUUAGAUUAAUCGAUUCUACAUAUCGGAUUUAAUCGAUUUGAUCAACAAUAAUUGCAUGAUCUUAAACUUAAUUGAUCUUAAUCUUAAUCAACAUUUGACUUGAUUUGAUUAAUUACUUAAUCAAAUUAGACCCAUUAAGUUCAAAUCAAAAAUCCUAAAUGCAAUCUAAUUACAUGACCUAAUUUUUGAUUUAGCCAUGACC
rnacentral:lncRNA from 1 species